rnacentral:rRNA from 1 species
AUUGAGCGCUUGUGGCAGGCCUAACACAUGCAAGUCGAACGAGUGGCGGACGGGUGAGUAAUGUCUGGGAAACUGCCCGAUGGAGGGGGAUCACUACUGGAAACGGUAGCUAAUACGGCAUACCAUAGGAUGUGCCCCGAUGGGAUGAGCUAGUAGGUGGGGUAACGGCUAAGCUAGGAGACGAUCCCUAGCUGGUCUGAGAGGAUGACCAGCCACACUGGAACUGAGACACGGUCCAGACUCCUACGGGAGGCAGCAGUGGGGAAUAUUGCACAAUGGGCGCAAGCCUGAUGCAGCCAUGCCGCGUGUAUGAAGAAGGCCUUCGGGUUGUAAAGUACUUUCAGCGAGGAGGCGUUACUCGCAGAAGAAGCAUCGGCUAACUCCGUGCCAGCCGCCGCGGUAAUAC